rnacentral:rRNA from 1 species
CCUACGGGCGGCAGCAGUGAGGAAUAUUGGUCAAUGGGCGCGAGCCUGAACCAGCCAAGUAGCGUGAAGGAUGACUGCCCUACGGGUUGUAAACUUCUUUUAUCAAGGAAUAAAGUGAGGCCCGUGUGCCUUUUUGUAUGUACUUUAUGAAUAAGGAUCGGCUAACUCCGUGCCAGCAGCCGCGGUAAUACGGAGGAUCCGGGCGUUAUCCGGAUUUAUUGGGUUUAAGGGGAGCGUAGAUGGGUGGUUAAGUCAGUUGUGAAAGUUUGCGGCUCAACCGUAAAAUUGCAAUUGAUACUGGCAGGCUUGAGUACAGUUGAGGUAGGCGGAAUGCGUGGUGUAGCGGUGAAAUGCUUAGAUAUCACGAAGAACACCGAUUGCGAAGGCAGCUUACUAAACUGCCACUGACAUUGAUGCUCGAAAGUGUGGGUAUCAAACAGGAUUAGAUACCCCGGUAGUC